UGGGGAAUAUUGGACAAUGGACCGAGAGUCUGAUCCAGCAAUUCUGUGUGCACGAUGAAGUUUUUCGGAAUGUAAAGUGCUUUCAGUUGGGAAGAAAAAAACGACGGUACCAACAGAAGAAGUGACGGCUAAAUACGUGCCAGCAGCCGCGGUAAUACGUAUGUCACGAGCGUUAUCCGGAUUUAUUGGGCGUAAAGCGCGUCUAGGUGGUUAUAUAAGUCUGAUGUGAAAAUGCAGGGCUCAACUCUGUAUUGCGUUGGAAACUGUAUAACUAGAGUACUGGAGAGGUAAGCGGAACUACAAGUGUAGAGGUGAAAUUCGUAGAUAUUUGUAGGAAUGCCGAUGGGGAAGCCAGCUUACUGGACAGAUACUGACGCUGAAGCGCGAAAGCGUGGGUAGCAAACAGGAUUAGAUACCCUGGUAGUCCACGCCGUAAACGAUGAUUACUAGGUGUUGGGGGUCGAACCUCAGCGCCCAAGCAAACGCGAUAAGUAAUCCGCCUGGGGAGUACGUACGCAAGUAUG
rnacentral:rRNA from 1 species